rnacentral:rRNA from 1 species
UACGUAGGUGACAAGCGUUGUCCGGAUUUAUUGGGCGUAAAGAGCUCGUAGGCGGCUCGUUGCGUCGGCUGUGAAAACCCGCAGCUCAACUGUGGGCUUGCAGCUGAUACGGGCGGGCUGGGAUUCGGUAGGGGAGACUGGAAUUCCUGGUGUAGCGGUGAAAUGCGCAGAUAUCAGGAGGAACACCGGUGGCGAAGGCGGUUCUCUGGGCAUUACCUGACGCUGAGGAGCGAAAGUGUGGGGAGCGAACAGG